rnacentral:tRNA from 1 species
UCCCGGGUCGUCUAAUGGCAGGACUGGGCGUUUUGGUCGCUCAUAUGGGGGUUCGAAUCCUCCCCCGGGAG